UGGCCCGAUGCAACUAGGUUUGUGGGUCU
rnacentral:piRNA from 1 species